rnacentral:rRNA from 1 species
CCGUAGGUGAACCUGCGGAGGGAUCAUUACUGAGUUGCCACUCCCAAAACCCCCGUGAACACCACAGCAGUUGCCUCGGCGGGACCGCCCCGGCGCCCCAGGGCCCGGACCAGGGCGCCCGCCGGAGGACCCCCAGACUCUCCUGUCGCAGUGGCGUCUCUCAGUCAAGAAGCAAGCAAAUGAAUCAAAACUUUCAACAACGGAUCUCUUGGUUCUCGCAUCGAUGAAGAACGUAGCAAAGUGCGAUAACUAGUGUGAAUUGCAUAUUCAGUGAAUCAUCGAGUCUUUGAACGCAACUUGCGCUCAAUGGUAUUCCAUUGAGCACGCCUGUUUCAGUAUCAAAAACACCCCACAUUCAUAAUUUUAUUGUGAAUGGAAUUGAGAAUUUCGACUUGUUUGAAUUCUUUAAACCUAUUAGGCCUGAACUAUUGUUCUUUUUGCCUGAACAUUUUUUUAAUAUAAAGGAAUGCUCUAGUAUUAAGACUAUCUCUGGGGCCUCCCAAAUAAAACUUUCUUAAAUUUGAUCUGAAAUCAGGCGGGAUUACCCGCUGAACUUAAGCAUAUCAAUAAGCGGAGG